GCGUGCGGAGCCGCGCGCCCCGGAGGCUCCGGGACCGUGGCGGCGGGCGGCGGUGGUGGCGGCGGAGCAGCCCUCAGCGGGCCAUGUCUUCUCCGGCGGUGGCGAGGAGCUCCCCGGGAGGGAGUGGAGAGGUGGCCCCCAGGCCACAGGGCCGAGGCCGGUUCUGGGAAGUGGGCGGCGGCAGCGGCCACCGGCUGGAGCGCGCGGCCGCGGAGUCGGAGCGCUGGGAGCUGCUGCUCCGCCGCGGCGAGCUGCUGGCGCUGGGCGGCCACCUGAAGGGAGCGCUGGAGGCGUACGCGGCGGCGCUGCGGCGGGGGGCCCCGGUCAGGCCCGAGUGCCUCGGCACCCUGGUGGACUGCCUGGUGUUCAACUACCGGCUCCGCCACGGGCUGGGCUGGAGCGCCGCCCCGGCUGCGGGCUCCGGCGGGCUCCUCAGCUGCCUGGGCUGCCGGGGCUUCCUCAGCGAGCCGGUGACCGUGCCCUGUGGCCACAGCUACUGCCGCCGCUGCCUGCGGAGAGAGCUCCGCGCCCGUUGCCGCCUGUGCCGGGACCGGCUGCCUCCCGCCGCCGCCAGUGCCACUGAUGCUGAGGGGACCGCCCCGCGGCCGCCGCCUCUGGCCGCCGCCAUCGCCGCCUCAGACUUCAGAACCAGCGUCGUGCUCAACCACCUGGCCGAGAAGUGGUUCCCGGGCCAGCGUGAGCGGGCUCGGGCGGCCGGGCGGCUCGGAGAGCUGCUGCACCAGGGACGCUACCGGGAGGCCCUGGCCGCCGCUUGUGAGGCGCUGCGAGCAGAGCCCAGGGACCUGAUUCUGAAAAUUUACAGAGCGGAAUCAUAUGCUGGUCUCCAAGAAUUUAAAGCAGCCAUAGAAGAUUUAAAUGCAGUUCUCUUUCAACUUCCAGAUUGGCCUGAGGUCUACUACAGGAAAGGAAAAGUACUCCAUGAUGCUGGUUUUUUAGGUGAUGCCUUACAACUCUUUCUUCAGUGCUUAGCCCUUGAUGAAGAUUUUGCACCUGCAAAGCUACAAGUAGAAAAGAUUUUAUGUGAUUUAUUAUCACCUGAAAACUUAAAAGAAGGCCUGAAGGAAUCCUCCUGGAGUUCAUUACCAUGUAUUAAAAACAAACCUUUUGGUUUUCCUUCAGUAAUGGAAGAGUCUCACUCUCCCAUUGAGCUUAGCCCAAAGCCGAGUGAAGAAAUACCAGAGGUCACUUCAGAGCCUGUCAAAGGAAGCUUAAACCGUGCUCAGUCAGCACAGUCUAUAAAUUCAACAGAAAUGCCUGCCAGAGAGGAUUGUUUAAAAAGAGUGUCCUCAGAACCUUUACUAUCUGUUCAAGAAAAAGGUGUUCUGCUGAAAAGAAAGUUGUCUCUUUUAGAACAAGAUGUAAUUGUAAAUGAAGAUGGAAGAAAUAAGCUUAAAAAACAAGGAGAAACUCCCAGUGAAGUCUGUAUGUUUUCAUUAGCUUAUGGCGAUAUUCCAGAAGAAUUGAUAGAUGUCUCAGAUUUUGAGUGUUCUCUCUGCAUGAGGUUGUUUUUUGAGCCAGUAACAACCCCUUGUGGACAUUCAUUCUGUAAGAAUUGUCUUGAGCGUUGUUUAGAUCAUGCACCAUAUUGUCCUCUUUGCAAAGAAAGCUUAAAAGAGUAUCUAGCAGAUAGGAGGUACUGUGUCACACAGCUGUUGGAAGAAUUAAUAGUGAAGUAUCUGCCUGAUGAACUGUCUGAGAGAAAAAAAAUAUAUGAUGAAGAAACUGCUGAACUCUCACACUUAACCAAGAGUGUUCCAAUAUUUGUUUGCACUAUGGCCUAUCCCACUGUGCCUUGCCCUCUUCAUGUAUUUGAGCCAAGAUAUAGAUUGAUGAUUCGAAGAAGUAUACAAACUGGAACCAAACAGUUUGGGAUGUGUGUCAGUGAUACACAAAAUAGUUUUGCAGAUUAUGGUUGUAUGUUACAAAUUAGAAAUGUACAUUUCUUACCUGAUGGAAGGUCUGUGGUUGAUACAGUUGGAGGAAAGCGGUUUAGGGUUUUAAAAAGAGGAAUGAAAGAUGGAUAUUGCACUGCAGACAUUGAAUAUCUGGAGGAUGUUAAGGUUGAGAAUGAAGAUGAGAUUAAGAAUCUCAGAGAACUUCAUGAUUUGGUAUACUCUCAAGCCUGCAGCUGGUUUCAGAACUUAAGAGACAGAUUUCGGAGCCAAAUUCUUCAGCACUUUGGAUCAAUGCCUGAGAGGGAGGAAAACCUUCAGGCAACCCCUAAUGGACCUGCAUGGUGUUGGUGGCUUCUUGCAGUUCUUCCUGUAGAUCCCCGAUACCAGCUGUCAGUUUUGUCAAUGAAGUCUUUGAAAGAAAGAUUGACAAAGAUACAGCAUAUACUGACCUACUUUUCUAGAGACCAAUCUAAGUAACUAACUGCUUGGAUCUUCCUUGAAAGUUACCCUAAUCUGGCUGUGUUGAUGGCCAGAUUGUCCGCUGCCUUUGCACAUCCAGUGCUGGUUUCAGAAAUGUCAGUGUUAAAAAAUGAUCCGUGGGGGAGCCACACUGCAUAUGAUACAUGGAAAGCUCUCCAAGAACAUUUCCCAAAAUGAAAUAACCCAAGUCUCUUUACUGAAAGGCCUCCCAAGUGCCCGCUUUCUCAUAAGUGAGAAAGGCUUUGCCAAGGUAUGUCAUUUUGAAAUCACACAACACCUGUUUUCUUUUCUCUCUUUCUGAAAGUCCUAUUAGAUAGGAGAUUGUCCCCAAGAAGAUUUGUUCUCAGCUUCUAAUUUUCUUUUGUCUCCUACUUGCCAUAAACUUUAAAAAAAUUUUUGAGAGAAUUUAAUUUGAGUUGCCACAUGGUUGAAUAAUAUUUAUGGACAGAAAAAGGGAAGUGAUGUACAGAAAAUGGAAGUGAGGUACAGUACCAGCUGGAUUGGUUACAGCUUGGCAUUUGCCUCUUUUGAACAUGGUUUGAACAGUUGGCUGCUUGUGAUUGGCUGAGACUUGGCUACUUGUUACAAGAGUAGAUUGCUGUUAGGUUACAGUUCACUAUAUACCAAGAAAACUGUAGGCUGAACUUAAAAUAUGUAAGGAACCAGUGUUAGGAUAAGCUUAAUUUAAUAAUUUCCUCUUUUUGCUUAACCUCUCAAUUUUGAAAUUUUAAAUUUCAAAACUUUAGGCGUUGAUGUCAUCCUGUCGCCGUCCUAAAUGGUCUUAUUUGGACUCAAAUCUCACUGGGAAAUAGCAGAACAGUGGGUUUCAUAAGAUGAGAACAAGGAAACAAAACAAGAAAAAAAAAAAAAAAACUGGUUAUAUAAGCUUACUUUGUAAGAGC